AAACUAGGAUUAGAUACCCUUUUAUUAUUUUUUUAGGUAUUAAUAGAUUUUCUUUAAACCUAAAAUUUCUGGCGGUUUUCUUUCUUUUCAGAGGGGCUUGUUUUUUAAUCGAUAGACCUCGAUUCUUUUUUCUUUAUUUUUUAGUUUAUAUACCUCCGUUUGAAGAUGAAUGAUAGUUUUUCUUUUUCUUUUUAAUUUUUUAUGUAAUUCAGGUCAAGGUUUAAUUUAUAAUUUAGAAGAAAUUAGCCAUAUAUUUUUGUUCUUUUCUUAAGAGUAUUUUUAGGAUUUGUGGGUAAAAAAAGAGUAAAUGUUUUUUUUGAAUUAGUAAAAGAGAAUGUACAUAUCGCCCGUCACUCUUUAUAAGAUAAGUCGUAACAUAGUA
rnacentral:rRNA from 1 species